rnacentral:rRNA from 1 species
UACGUAGGGUGCAAGCGUUAAUCGGAAUUACUGGGCGUAAAGCGUGCGCAGGCGGUUGUGUAAGACAGAUGUGAAAUCCCCGGGCUCAACCUGGGAACUGCAUUUGUGACUGCACGGCUGGAGUGCGGCAGAGGGGGAUGGAAUUCCGCGUGUAGCAGUGAAGUGCGUAGAUAUGCGGAGGAACACCGAUGGCGAAGGCAAUCCCCUGGGCCUGCACUGACGCUCAUGCACGAAAGCGUGGGGAGCAAACAGG